AACGAACGCUGGCGGCAUGCCUAACACAUGCAAGUCGAACGAGACCUUCGGGUCUAGUGGCGAACGGGUGCGUAACGCGUGGGAACCUGCCCUUAGGUUCGGAAUAACUCCCCGAAAGGGGUGCUAAUACCGGAUAAUGUCUUCGGACCAAAGAUUUAUCGCCUUUGGAUGGGCCCGCGUUGGAUUAGCUAGUUGUUAGGGUAAAAGCCUACCAAGGCGACGAUCCAUAGCUGGUCUGAGAGGAUGAUCAGCCACACUGGGACUGAGACACGGCCCAGACUCCUACGGGAGGCAGCAGUGGGGAAUAUUGGACAAUGGGCGAAAGCCUGAUCCAGCAAUGCCGCGUGAGUGAUGAAGGCCUUAGGGUUGUAAAGCUCUUUUACCCGGGAUGAUAAUGACAGUACCGGGAGAAUAAGCUCCGGCUAACUCCGUG
rnacentral:rRNA from 1 species